AGAGUUUGAUCCUGGCUCAGAUUGAACGCUGGCGGCAGGCUUAACACAUGCAAGUCGAGCGGGGGAAGGUAGCUUGCUACUGGACCUAGCGGCGGACGGGUGAGUAAUGCUUAGGAAUCUGCCUAUUAGUGGGGGACAACAUCUCGAAAGGGAUGCUAAUACCGCAUACGUCCUACGGGAGAAAGCAGGGGAUCUUCGGACCUUGCGCUAAUAGAUGAGCCUAAGUCGGAUUAGCUAGUUGGUGGGGUAAAGGCCUACCAAGGCGACGAUCUGUAGCGGGUCUGAGAGGAUGAUCCGCCACACUGGGACUGAGACACAGCCCAGACUCCUACGGGAGGCAGCAGUGGGGAAUAUUGGACAAUGGGCGCAAGCCUGAUCCAGCCAUGCCGCGUGUGUGAAGAAGGCCUUAUGGUUGUAAAGCACUUUAAGCGAGGAGGAGGCUACUUUAGAUAAUACCUAGAGAUAGUGGACGUUACUCGCAGAAUAAGCACCGGCUAACUCUGUGCCAGCAGCCGCGGUAAUACAGAGGGUGCAAGCGUUAAUCGGAUUUACUGGGCGUAAAGCGCGCGUAGGCGGCUAAUUAAGUCAAAUGUGAAAUCCCCGAGCUUAACUUGGGAAUUGCAUUCGAUACUGGUUAGCUAGAGUGUGGGAGAGGAUGGUAGAAUUCCAGGUGUAGCGGUGAAAUGCGUAGAGAUCUGGAGGAAUACCGAUGGCGAAGGCAGCCAUCUGGCCUAACACUGACGCUGAGGUGCGAAAGCAUGGGGAGCAAACAGGAUUAGAUACCCUGGUAGUCCAUGCCGUAAACGAUGUCUACUAGCCGUUGGGGCCUUUGAGGCUUUAGUGGCGCAGCUAACGCGAUAAGUAGACCGCCUGGGGAGUACGGUCGCAAGACUAAAACUCAAAUGAAUUGACGGGGGCCCGCACAAGCGGUGGAGCAUGUGGUUUAAUUCGAUGCAACGCGAAGAACCUUACCUGGCCUUGACAUAGUAAGAACUUUCCAGAGAUGGAUUGGUGCCUUCGGGAACUUACAUACAGGUGCUGCAUGGCUGUCGUCAGCUCGUGUCGUGAGAUGUUGGGUUAAGUCCCGCAACGAGCGCAACCCUUUUCCUUAUUUGCCAGCGAGUAAUGUCGGGAACUUUAAGGAUACUGCCAGUGACAAACUGGAGGAAGGCGGGGACGACGUCAAGUCAUCAUGGCCCUUACGGCCAGGGCUACACACGUGCUACAAUGGUCGGUACAAAGGGUUGCUACACAGCGAUGUGAUGCUAAUCUCAAAAAGCCGAUCGUAGUCCGGAUUGGAGUCUGCAACUCGACUCCAUGAAGUCGGAAUCGCUAGUAAUCGCGGAUCAGAAUGCCGCGGUGAAUACGUUCCCGGGCCUUGUACACACCGCCCGUCACACCAUGGGAGUUUGUUGCACCAGAAGUAGCUAGCCUAACUGCAAAGAGGGCGGUUACCACGGUGUGGCCGAUGACUGGGGUGAAGUCGUAACAAGGUAACC
rnacentral:rRNA from 1 species